rnacentral:rRNA from 1 species
AGUGAACGCUGGCGGUAGGCCUAACACAUGCCAGUCGAACGGCAGCACAGUAAGAGCUUGCUCUUACGGGUGGCGAGUGGCGGACGGGUGAGGAAUACAUCGGAAUCUACUUUUUCGUGGGGGAUAACGUAGGGAAACUUACGCUAAUACCGCAUACGACCUACGGGUGAAAGCAGGGGAUCUUCGGACCUUGCGCAAUUGAAUGAGCCGAUGUCGGAUUAGCUAGUUGGCGGGGUAAAGGCCCACCAAGGCGACGAUCCGUAGCUGGUCUGAGAGGAUGAUCAGCCACACUGGAACUGAGACACGGUCCAGACUCCUACGGGAGGCAGCAGUGGGGAAUAUUGGACAAUGGGCGCAAGCCUGAUCCAGCCAUACCGCGUGGGUGAAGAAGGCCUUCGGGUUGUAAAGCCCUUUUGUUGGGAAAGAAAAGCAGCAGGUUAAUACCCCGCUGUUCUGACGGUACCCAAAGAAUAAGCACCGGCUAACUUCGUG